rnacentral:lncRNA from 1 species
GUUAUAGUGUCUCUCUCUAGGAAGUAAGCUUCUGUAACAGAUCAAUGUGUUAUGGUGUCUCUCUCUUGGAGUUGAACUAUUGUUACCGUUCAAUGUGUCACUAGGAGGUUAACUACUGUAACCGUUCAGUGUGUUAUGGUGUCUCCAGGAGGUGAACUACUGUAACAGUCCAGUGUGUUGUAGUGUCUCUCCCUAGGAAGUGAACUUCUGUAACAUUUCAGUGUGUUAUAUUGUCUCUAGGAGGUGAACUACUGUAACAGUUCAGUGUGUUAUAGUGUCUCUAGGAGGUGAACGACUGUAACAGUUCAGUGUGUUAUAGUGUCUCUCUCUAGGAAGUACACUUCUGUAACAGAUCAAUGUG